UGGACCACGCUGUCCUGUCUUCGCAAUUCCCUGCGACUCUCUAAUUAUUUCAAAAUUAAGUUUUUGAAAAAACAACAUGCGUGCGUGGCGUGAUGUCUACAAUUUGCUUUCAAAUCCUCCAGCCAAAUGGGGAAAAAGCCAGAGAGGGAGCCCACAGGAGGUGAUAAAACGAGAUUGCCAGACGUUGCCGGGGAUGAAGCCGAGGGCUGGGGAUGCUGGAAUCCGUGUCUGGUCCUCUCGACUUCUGUGUGUUUUUGAAAUUUUCCGUAAGAAAGAUGUAAAAUGAAAAAUGCUGAUAGUCGGGGAGGCAGAGGUGGGGGGUUGGGGGCAGUGCGCGCCGGCCCAGACCCCUGCGGGCAGGCGUGCCCCGCGAACGCUGACUCACGCUCCGUGCUGGGCCCAGGAAUUCUUCCAGACAGCUGUGUGUUGAUGCCCUGGGGACGGCGCAGAGGCCUGUCUACCACCCAUGCGUCCAAGAACGAAGGCUCCCCGCGCAAGGGGGUCCCCGGGGUGGGGUCGAAAGCCUGCAAUUACUGCUGAUGACAACCUUCGGGCCAGCUCCAUGGUGCGGUUUAUGGAGACUCUGAGCCGGACACACAGAGGUUCGCUGCGGGAUGAAAGGCCAGCUGGAAGGGCAUGAUGGGCAGGGGACGGGCACGGCCUGGGAAAAGGACACAAACGCACGAAUGUCAUCAGUCUGGGCUGGUGGCUGCUGGGUGCCAUCCUUCCAUCCCGCGCCCACUGCGUGGGGUCAAGACUUGUCCGCAUCCGGGGAAGGAGUGACCACAACACCCUGGGCUCCUGGAACCGCUUGUCCCCUCUAAGCUCCCACUCCAGCCUCAAUGGUCCAUCCUAACAUGGUUCCCCAUGGCCCCCAGCAGGAACCAUAAACUCACAUGCCCUUGGGGACCAGGCUGGGGACCAAGGAGUGAAGGAGGCUGGAGGGAGACAAUAGGGAGUGGUGGAGACUGUGAACAACGGGAGACCACAGGCCCCUGACACUGGGCAGCUGUCACUCAGCUCCAACUCGUGUUCGUCAUGCAGGACUGUGGGUCCAGGGCUGCCAGAGUUUUCCAUUGUUCGAGUAAGUCAGAAAGCUGGAUUGUUUUUAAUCCUGAUUUCUAAAUAUUGCAAUUCCAACAAAACAAU
rnacentral:lncRNA from 1 species